rnacentral:rRNA from 1 species
UGGGGAAUAUUGGACAAUGGGGGCAACCCUGAUCCAGCAAUGCCGCGUGUGUGAAGAAGGCCUUCGGGUUGUAAAGCACUUUUAUCAGGAACGAAAUCUGCAGGAUUAAUACCCAUGCAGUCUGACGGUACCUGAGGAAUAAGCACCGGCUAACUUCGUGCCAGCAGCCGCGGUAAUACGAAGGGUGCAAGCGUUACUCGGAAUUACUGGGCGUAAAGGGUGCGUAGGUGGUCGUUUAAGUCCGUUGUGAAAUCCCUGGGCUCAACCUGGGAAUGGCAGUGGAUACUGGACGGCUAGAAUGCGGUAGAGGGUAGUGGAAUUCCCGGUGUAGCAGUGAAAUGCGUAGAGAUCGGGAGGAACACCAGUGGCGAAGGCGGCUACCUGGACCAGCAUUGACACUCAAGCACGAAAGCGUGGGGAGCAAACAG